GCAAGUCGAGCGCUUCCCUUCGGGGAGGAGCGGCGGACGGGUUAGUAACGCGUGGGAACGUACCCUUCUCUAUGGAAUAGCCAUUGGAAACGAUGAGUAAUACCAUAUACGCCCUUCGGGGGAAAGAUUUAUCGGAGAAGGAUCGGCCCGCGUUAGAUUAGAUAGUUGGUGGGGUAAUGGCCUACCAAGUCUACGAUCUAUAGCUGGUUUUAGAGGAUGAUC
rnacentral:rRNA from 1 species